GGUGGUUCCUAAUACUAGCUGCUGUUGACGUGAACCCAAGAAGAAGCACCGGCUAACUCCGUGCCAGCAGCCGCGGUAAUACGGGGGGUGCAAGCGUUAAUCGGAAUCACUGGGCGUAAAGGGUGCGUAGGCGGUACGUUAGGUCUGUCGUGAAAUCCCCGGGCUCAACCUGGGAAUGGCGGUAGAAACCGGCGCACUAGAGUAUGGGAGAGGGUGGUGGAAUUCCAGGUGUAGCGGUGAAAUGCGUAGAGAUCUGGAGGAACAUCAGUGGCGAAGGCGGCCACCUGGCCCAAUACUGACGCUGAGGCACGAAAGCGUGGGGAGCAAACAGGAUUAGAUACCCUGGUAGUCCACGCCCUAAACGAUGAAUACUAGAUGUUUGGUACCUAGCGUACUGAGUGUCGUAGCUAACGCGAUAAGUAUUCCGCCUGGGAAGUACGGCCGCAAGGUUAAAACUCAAAUGAAUUGACGG
rnacentral:rRNA from 1 species